AUAAAGUACAAUUAAAUAUUUAAAACUGCAAAACCUUAAAUUAAAAAGAACAUGAAAAAGGAGUAAAACACUUAUUAGAAUUUGAGAACGACUCAGAAGUAGUUUGUUUUGGUGGAGUAGCUGCUAGAUAGGAAGACAUUUUCAAAUAUUAUGGUUUAAGAACAGGACUUAUCUUAAACUGACAGCUCAGUUCUUCUGUUUUUCUGAAUGGUUGAAGAUUUGGCACUGCUUCAUUCUUUUUUUUCUUUCAUUCUUAGCCAUUUUUUACAAAUAUGCUUAAGAAACACUAGCAACCCUGCAAUAGCCUCUUCUCAUUUCAGCACCUGGUCUAAAAUUCUUACUGUUGGAACAAUAUUAUCAACAUAAGGAAACAAUUUAUCCUUUAUCUCUUCAGUAGUCUAUUUACUCAAAACAUAAACAUUUAAAAUUAUCAAAAACUAGAUUUGAAAUUUUGACCUUAAUAGUUCAUUAUCCCAAUCUACUUACGUUAAAAUGCUUGUUACCUUGUAAAUUUGAGAAUUCCCUUGGUGCAUUUAGAUAUUCAGUGCCAUGAUACUCAAUUAAGAUGCACUAAUGCUUUAUACCAAAAUUAUGAUCAUAUGCUUUUAAUAAUAAAUUUUUUUCUUCAGCUCUUUGGAAACCUGUCAGUAACUUGCCUUACCAACUUUGUCUUUGUUUUAUAGACUGAUGUUUAACUAAUGUGAAGUGAAACUAACUUUGACGUCGUCCAACAGCUUGAAUUUGUCUUGCAGCUGAGUGGGUAAACCACAGCAAUCCACAAGUCAAUUAUUUUGCUCUCCAGUGAAAAGGACACAAAAGCUACCUCUGCCUGCAAGCUGGACCUAAAGCUCUGGAACACCUUAGCUUUUAAUGAUAAAGCUGCUGAAAUGACUUUGAGUAAUUACUGAAGCAAUCAGCAUGGAAUAAAUACACCCCUGGAGAGAAUGUGCUGGUGAUAUCACUCACCAAUAUUUAUCAAAGAUUAUUUAUCCACUGUCUUGCUUGCUUUUGUUUUGCUUUUUAUUCUGCUAAAAUAUGUGCACAUGCAUCUACUGAAGGGUUUGUGCUGCUUGGAGACUACACUGGGAGCAAAUCUACCUUGACUGGGAAUGGUCUGAAGAAUCAAUGUUCAAGAUUCUAUGUUUUGGAAUCUAAUUGCCUCACUGCAGCCUUUGGGCUACCCAGGCAGUAAAUCUGUCUCCAGCUCAGGCACCUGUAUAAUCAAGACACUGUUAAGUUUCUUUGAACUUCUCUAAUUCAGGUUUCAUGCAUCACAUUUGUUUAAAAUGUUUAAUAACUUAUUCACUAAUUGCUUGCUUAAACCUGCUCUGGCUGCCAAGCAUUCUGUUAUAGCUGAUAAAAUAUAGAUCACUCUGAAUAUUUAUGUGUGAUUUUUGUGCAAGUGACAUUUAUGAUUAACGCAAACUUAAUUUGGUAGUGGAAUCAAAUAAAAAAUGUCUCUGUGUAUUCUACUGGAAUGAUUAGCAGAGGCCAUUAAUCAAGAAGUCCCUUUUGUUCAUAAUUUUAUGCCACAUGAAUGAGUAAAAACACAAAGGAACUGAGUAUUUCAUCAAGCUCUGGCUUUCUUUAUGUGAAAUAUUAAAUUGUCUCACAAGAAACUUCCAUAUAUUUAAUGUUUUUAAUCACUGCUCUUUUGUGUGUGGCCCUCUUUGUGAAGUGAGACCUACAUAUCAUUCAGGCAGUAGCAUUUCUGGAGCAUGGCCUAGUCAGGAAUUUGAUUCCAAAUGGCUUUUUCAAAUCAGCGAUACAGAGUCACAUCUGAAUGCUGAACAAGGCUCAAACUAGCUCAAACAAAUUAUUUUUUGAAGUCUGCAAAGGUCACAAGUUAAAUGAAGAAAGAAUUUUAUUUGUAGUUGUCGGAGUUUCCUUUUUCCUUCUUAAUUCAUUCCUUGUAAACUCCAUGUUGGGUGUCAAAAUAUUGAGAUGCUACAGCUAAGGAUAAUUCAAUGGCAUACAAAGAUAAAACCGCAGUUUGAAUAUUGUCCUAAUAAUAUCAAGCAAUAUCGCAAGAAUUAAGAAAAAAAUCGCUUCUUUUUGCAGUGUAUAAAAAUGCAUUAUAUCUGAGAUAAAGAAGUGAAAUUUAAAAGGCUUUAAUUGUGGGCUGCUAUCACUAAUAAAAACAGAUAGACAUUGAAUAUUUGACUAAAGACUUUUUGCUCAUUGAGUAAGGGUGAGUGAUAAAAAUGAUGUGUGGUUGGGGGUAUAUCAAUGUAGCAAAACACCACCAUGACUAACAGAUACACAACAAGUUUAAAUAUGGUCAACUAAGAGUUAUAAAAGUGAAACUGCUUUUACUCCAGGAUAGCAGUAGCCCACUCCAAAAGUCAUACAUUGUUGUCAUGUCUUAAAUGAGGCUCAUCAGAGCAUAUAAAAACAACAGGUAUAUUUUCACAACCUUAUGUAUAAGCAUCGCUCCCAGGUCCUAUUAUCCCAGGUAAUUUUGUCUGGAAACUGCUGAUUUAACGGUUUUGCUCACAUGAUUUCAGAAUUCACAAAAGCAAAUGGCUCAGAUUUAUUUAAACUGUUACAAAAUGAACUGCAAAGCUAGAAAUCUGUACAUUUACUAGCUUACAAAUAAACAGUUGCAAAAAC